rnacentral:lncRNA from 1 species
CUCAUGACCUAUGCCCCUGCCACGUCAGACUUCUUACGGCUCCCUCUGCAUUCCGUGCUGAGUCUUAUCUCCGGGGUUCUGUAUGUAGCAUUUCUCCUCCCUUCGUCUUUUUGUCCACCAGGCCCUGGGGACCCCAGGAGCUCCCAGUGAUCCGGCAAUUAAAGGGUUACUGCCUGUUCCAGCAGGAGGCCUCCCGGGACCCUGUCCCAGCGCUUUGGCUCUAUCCAUUUGCGUUCAGCAGCUUCUAUGAAGGCAAGGAUACAGUCUUUCCCAACGGAGAAUCCCCAGCAUCCAGCACAGAAUCGAAAAUGAAACAGUGUCUGGGAUCCGAGAGAGAACUAGUGAAGGACCCAGAGGACACUCGAGUCUGGAUACCUGACUGUGUCUGAAGGACAUCAAAACACCCGUGGAGCAUGGGGAAAACGGGCCGCCGGUCAGUUUUGUUCAUGUGGAAGGAGCCCAUUGUUCCCUCCUCAGGAGGCGUUACAAAGGAAGACCAGCAAAACCGGUGGAAAACCCUCCCUUCGGAAUGAGUUGAUUAGUUAUUGCCGAUUAUCUUCGAUGUUCGGUGCAGGACCUGGGGUUUGAUUCUUCACCGAGAGACUGUUAAACUAGCUGAACAGCGGCUUGAACUGGAGGGAAGCUCAGCCCUGAACAAGCUCAUCCAAGUCUGAUGUGACCUUGAUGGCGGUGCUCACUACAUUUGCUGCAGCUGGCCUAUGUCUGCCCUGAGGUCACCAGUGCUGCAUUUGCCCAGUGUCCAGCCAGAAGGGGCUGGAGCCCUCCAGAAGAAUCACCCGUCUUGCAAAGAAUGACCUGAUUAAUCCUGCUUCUAGCGUGGGGACCCCUCCACUGGUCACAAGAGUCAGCCUUUAGCAGCUGCUCCGGGAGCGGUGAUAAACAGCCUCGGAGGGCUUAUCUGCGCCCCUCGUAGCAUCUGAACCAAUAGACACUUGGAGAGAAAACAGGACAGAAAUGAUUAUUAAUUCUUCCUCAAACCCGAGGAGUAGCUCUUGUGGGCCGA